rnacentral:lncRNA from 1 species
GGGGUGGUCUCCAAUCAAACAGAGAAAAGGUCCUGGAGAAGAUCUAUGAGCUAGAAGACAGCUGGGACAGCAAAUUCUUGACUCGCUUAUCAUCAUGUUCCCUUUCCAUGGUCAGCCCAGACUCUGGGCUCCAUCACAACACACUAGUCUGUUCAGCAUGGAGUACCUUUUUUGCCUCUUCUAGUCCAGCCAUCCAGGCAAAUCAAUCAAUACACUAAGUGGCAAUUCAUAAGUGACCCAUCGUGUCAAGCUGGAGAGCAGGAGGGACACCCAGCUUUUUAAAGCGAGCUUAUCAAUCACUGUAUCCCGAAUAAGCAUCUUCAUCCCAGCUACAGAAAAUAGAAGGCUGUAGAAAAGAACAGGAGGCUAG